AAAGUGGUUAUAACUGUAUUUUAUGCUGAAAAUUGUCCAAGGUGUUCCUACUAUCUCAAUUGUGGACAUUUUCUUUGCAAUUGCAUCAAACAUGUGUUUUAGACCUUGUUCUGAGAAAAGUGGUUAUAACUGUAUUUUAUGCUGAAAAUUGUCCAAGGUGUUCCUACUAUCUCAAUUGUGGACAUUUUCUUUGCAAUUGCAUCAAACAUGUGUUUUAGACCUUGUU